GGAGGGCACGCGCCACGUGGGCCGUGGCGGCGGGUAACAGACACAUAAACACAAAAGAUAGGCAUAAAGGCAUGUCAGUUGGGCCAGUCAGUGGCCACCUACUGUGGAGGCCCAGAAGCACUUUCUCCCAGAGGAAGCUUCGAGAUUGAGACUUCAGCAUCUGCAGCCUGUCUAUGUCACACUGAAGAGGGAAGAAAGAAAGGGUUGUAACUUGCUGACUAUUGUAACAUCAAACCUGCCACCAGAAACCCAGCGUUGUCUCCAAUAAAGGCUCUUGGGAACUUCUUGAGGAAUUUACCACCCUCCUCAUAACACCCCUUGCCACUGUUCAACAGAUUUUUAUGACAAGCCAAACAUAAAGAACAAGAGUUAU